GUGGGUACAAGGAAUCUACUUUAUUCAACACACUAACCUAAUUUCCGAGACAUGUUACAUACCUGAAACAUGUCUUAGAAAUUAGGGUUUUUCUUGAUUUGUGUGCUGAACAAAGUAGAUUCCUUGUACCCA
rfam:Medicago truncatula strain A17 chromosome 4, whole genome shotgun sequence.